UAACGAGGCGGCGAGUCGCGUGUGUUAACGAGGCGGCGGGCCAUGUAUGUUAACGAGGCAACGGGUCGCGUGUGUUAACGAGGCGGCGGGUUGCGUGUUUUAACGAGGCAGCGGGUCGCGUCUGUUAAUGAGGCAGCGGGUCACGUCUGUUAAUGAGGCGGCUGGUCGCGUGUGUUAACGAGGCGGCGAGUCGCGUGUGUUAACGAGGCAGCAGGUUGCUUGUGUUAACGAGGCGGCGGGUUGCGUGUUUUAAC